AUAUAUUUGAGUUUGAUGAUGGCUCUGAAUGAACGCUGUCCAAAUGCUUGACACAUGCUAAUCGUACGUUUAAUAUAAUAUAAUAGUGUAAACUAUUUAUUUAAUUAAAAGUGGUGUACAGGUGAGUAUAUGAUAUUUUGGCUACCUUAAAGUAAGGCUAAUAAAUACCUUAUAAAGAAAAGGAAUAAAACUUCCGCUUUAAGAUGACAAUAAAUAUCUCGGAUAGGUAGUAGUUAAGGUAAUGACUUAACUAGCUUAAAAUUCCGUAAUCGAGGCUGAGAGGUCCAUCGAUCACAUUGGGUCUGAAAAAACCCCAAUACGUAUAGUACAGCAGUGAGGAAUAUUGGUCAAUAGCCUAACGGCUGAACCAGCAACUUGGAAGAACGUAAAGCUUCGGCUUGUGAAACCUAAAAAUAAUGGUGAGCAUCGACUAUGUCGAAUAAAGUUCUAGAUAUUAUAUUGAUUAUGACAAUUUUUUAUCUAUUUGUCUUGACCAAAAUACGUGCCAGCAGUCGCGGUAAUACGUAAAAGACAAGUGUUAUUCAUCUUUAAUAGGUUUAAAGGGUACCUAGACGGUAUUAUUAGCCCAAAAAAGGGUACGGUUAUACUAGAGUUUUAUAGGAGAAGGAAGUAUUUAUGGAGGAGAGUUUAUAUUUCAUUAUACCUUAAAGACUGGUAAAGGCGAAAGCAACCUUCUAUCUAAUAACUGACGUUGAGGUACGAAGGCCUGGGUAGCAAACAGGAUUAGAUACCCUAGUAGUCCAGGCAGAGAAUUAUGAAUGCCAUAUG
rnacentral:ncRNA from 1 species